rnacentral:tRNA from 1 species
AAGCUGUAGUAUAAUUUUAUUAUAUCUUAUUGUCGAUGGGAAGAUUCCGGUUUUA